rnacentral:rRNA from 1 species
UACGUAGGGCGCAAGCGUUGUCCGGAAUUAUUGGGCGUAAAGAGCUCGUAGGCGGUUUGUCGCGUCUGCUGUGAAAACCUAAGGCUCAACCUUGGGCUUGCAGUGGGUACGGGCAGACUAGAGUGUGGUAGGGGAGACUGGAAUUCCUGGUGUAGCGGUGAAAUGCGCAGAUAUCAGGAGGAACACCGAUGGCGAAGGCAGGUCUCUGGGCCACUACUGACGCUGAGACGCGAAAGCGUGGGGAGCAAACAGG